AAAUUCAUUGAAACAAUUAAGGGUUUUGACGACGAGAACAUGGAUAAAAAUUCUGUUUUAGGUGACAGGAUAGGGAAAAAAAAGGCUUCUGGUAUAGUUAAUUUGGAAUCGUUGAGGUUGGAACCAGACAACAUAGCACGGGUUGUGCCAGGAAGAAUAUUAAAUGUGCGUUUUUUUCCCACCAACAAUGUUCGAAUGGUUGCUGUAGGGAACAAAUAUGGCAAUAUAGGUUUCUGGAAUGUUGAUGCUCCACAGGAGGAUGGAGAUGUGAUUUUUUUGUACCGUCCUCAUUCGGGGCCAGUUUCAGGAAUACUUGUGGAACCUUUUUCUGUGUCAAAGAUGAUCACUUCUUGCUAUGAUGGAUUAAUCAGGGUAAUGGACAUUGAAAAGGAAAUGUUUGAUUUGGCAUAUAUGAGUGAACAUCCCAUAUUUUCCAUAUCACAGAGAUCGCAUGAUGUGAAGUCCAUAUAUUAUGGUGAAGGCAAGGGGGAACUUGGUAUUUGGGAUCUAAGGGCAGGAAAAUCUUCAGCAUUGUGGAAUUUGCAUGAAGAUAGGAUCAACACAAUAGAUUUUACCUCUGAGAACUGUAAUAUUAUGGCUACUAGUUCUACAGAUGGUAGUGCAUGCAUUUGGGAUUUGAGAAAAGUUGGUGCACAUAAACCAAAAUCUUUACAAACUGUCUUCCACAAAAGAGCAGUACACUCGGCUUACUUUUCACCUUCAGGAAGGCGUCUUGCCACAACAAGUAUUGAUAAUAAUGUUGGUGUGUUGAGUGGCGCUAAUUAUGAAGAUACAUCUAUGAUCUCCCAUACUAAUCACACAAACAGAUGGAUUUCCUCG
rnacentral:misc_RNA from 1 species